UGAGGGAAGAUGGUAUUACCCCACCUCAUGCCUCCCCAGGCAGAUGGCAGGACCCACAAUAAUAGCCCGUUCCCCCCCCCCGUAUCCCAGGGGAGAUGGUAUGGUCUACAGUGAGGUUCUUUUUCCCUUCCUCUGAAUCCUAAGGAAGAUGGUACCACCCAUGUCGUCCCCUCCCUAUUUACGGGGCAAUGAUAUGAGCACCCCACCAUUCCCCUCCCCCGCCACAAGAUCCAUAGUGACUCCCCUAACUCCUAUCAGAGGCGAUGGUACAACCCAUGCGACUGCCCUCCUGCAUCCCUGAGAAUAUGACCGUGAGCACAUCCCCAGCCCCACCGGGCGGGACCAGAUGCCAGAGGGCGGACCGGCACCAUGUGGCAGGAGAGCAGACCCAACUGAGGGGUCUCCGCACUGGGAACAGGACAAUGCAGGCUGCCUGGAGGCUUCUCCUGUCAGUGCCAAGCGAGGAUCCCACCGCUGCCACCAGCGUGAAUCCCUGGAGCGUCGGGGCACAGAGCAGGGCUGGCCAGCACCAGGGAAGGAGGUGGAGGCUGGGAAGGGAGAGACCGGGUCCCUCUCCCCACAGAGGGAGCGGAUCUGGAGGGGCCUUUCGGACCCAGCCCCUGGGCCCUGGCUGGUGCCCAGCAAGGAGCGCCUCUCACGGGCCCUGAGGGGUGUCUGCAUGGCUGAGGGGGAGGAUGAUGAAGGAGGCAGCCUAGGGCAGGGCAUAGGUGGGGAGGUGAAGCGGAGGACCUAGUCCAGCCCUGGCCAUUGCCCUAUGUUCUCAGUGCCUGGGAGAGUACCUCCACCCCCUAUCUGGAUGUGCAAUGGUACCUUCCAUUCUCCUCUCCACCCCUUCACCUAGGGGGUCAGUUAAGUAGUGGUACCUUCCACUCUUGUUCACCCUCCCAUCUGUCUAGUGGUACUGUCUAGUCUAUCACCUCCCACCCCAGCAAUUCAAUAGUGUCUUCAAUUCUCCAAACACCCCUCCAUCUGGCCUGUACAGUGGUAGCGGCCAUUCUCCUACCAUCUUCUCCUGUCCCCCCUCUGGGCUGUACAAUGGUACCUUCCAUUCACUCCCCCCAUCCGAGCUAUUUACUGAAUGGAACUUUCCAAUGUCCCCUUUCCCUCUUCAUAAUCUGCCCCGGCUGUUUCCACUCUGCUGGUACCUUCUUCCUCCCCCUGUCUGUGCAAUGGUACUGUCCAUUUGUAACCCUCGGUAAUUGGCAAUGGUGUUGCCCACUGUUGGCAAUUUUGCAUACACCCCUCAUGGCAAGAUUGCAAUGGUACUGCCCCCCUCCAUUGCCGCCUACACACUCCACAGAGACACACAUGGACUGACCCAUUCCAUCCAGGAGGGGGGAGCCAUCACAUGUAGCUUGAUCCACUCCAUGGGCAGCGGGAGGGUGAAAUGGGCUGUUCCAUUGCAUCAAAAGGAGGACAAAUGUUCCGGUAAAACUCGCACAGGCUGAUCCAUUGGGCGGGGGGGGGUGUAAGUGAAGGGCCAAGCCAUUUUAUGGACCAAUCCGUCCAGACGCAUGUGGACUGAUCUAUUCUGUGCGGAGGGAGGGGGCGGAAUGGACACAUUCCACAGACCCACCCAUUCCUCGGUGCUGGAGGAGGGGGAGGAAUGGAUCAAACCACUCCAAAGCAGGGGAGAACAGACCAAACCAUUCCAUCAAGGUGUGGGGGGUGCGCAAUGGUUUUGCGCCAUUGGUGGUCCUUCCCCAAGAGAUGGGUGGCAGGGGUGCCCCUACCCAGGGCUGGCACCCCGUGAGAGGGGCUCAGCCGCACUGCGGGGGGCAGGGGCGUCCUGAGCUGGAACGAAGGUGCUGCUGUUGCCUUGCUUUCUGUCGCCAUGGGGACAACCUUUAUUUUCAAUAAACCAGACCGCUUUUUGGGCAGCGAACAAA